AUCCCUGAACUUGGGUUGAGGGGUAAUGAGCAUUGAUCGCAACGUAGGAACAGGUGUCUUGUCAUGAGCCACCGGCUGGUGGCUGCUCACGGAUAUUAUGACCCCCCCCCCAACUUACAGGGGAGAAAAUGUAGGUGGGUCCCAAGAAAGAGAUUUUGUCAAAACCAAAGCCUGGACCCUCGGGAUCCAGGACCUAAACAUAGGAACCUGCCAAAGCUCCGAUCUUGUUUCCCAAACUUGGUUACUCAUCAGGAUCACUGGGACUACUUGGUAAAAAUACAGAUUCCUAUGUUUGCCCUGGCUGGAAUGCA